rnacentral:rRNA from 1 species
AUGCACGCUGGCUACAGGCUUAACCCAUGCAAGUCGAGGGGAAACGACGGGGAAGCUUGCUUCCCCGGGCGUCGACCGGCGCACGGGUGAGUAACGCGUAUCCAACCUGCCUCUGACUGAGGGAUAACCCGUCGAAAGUCGGCCUAAUACCUCAUGGUAUCGUCUGCGGGCAUCCAACGACGAUUAAAGAUUUCAUCGGUCAGGGAUGGGGAUGCGUCUGAUUAGCUUGUUGGCGGGGUAACGGCCCACCAAGGCUACGAUCAGUAGGGGUUCUGAGAGGAAGGUCCCCCACAUUGGAACUGAGACACGGUCCAAACUCAUACGGGAGGCAGCAGUGAGGAAUAUUGGUAAAUGGGCGAGAGCCUGAACCAGCCAAGUAGCGUGCAGGAAGACGGCCCUAUGGGUUGUAAACUGCUUUUAUGCGGGGAUAAAGUGAGGGACGUGUCCCUCAUUGCAGGUACCGCAUGAAUAAGGACCGGCUAAUUCCGUG